UACGGGGGGAGCAAGCGUUGUUCGGAUUUACUGGGCGUAAAGGGCGCGUAGGCGGUCAGCACAAGUCAGUUGUGAAAUCUCCGGGCUCAACCUGGGAACUGCGUUUGUGACUGUAUGACUAGAGUACGGUAGAGAGGGGUGGAAUUCCUGGUGUAGCAGUGAAAUGCGUAGAUAUCAGGAGGAACAUCGAUGGCGAAGGCAGCCCCUUGGACCUGUACUGACGCUCAUGCACGAAAGCGUGGGGAGCAAACAGG
rnacentral:rRNA from 1 species